GCCGUCCUAGCUCAGUUGGUAGAGCGACUGCCUUGUAAGCAGUGGGUCGUGGGUUCGAUUCCUACGGGCGGCACCA
rnacentral:tRNA from 1 species